AACGAACGCUGGCGGCAUGCCUAACACAUGCAAGUCGAACGAGAUCUUCGGGUCUAGUGGCGCACGGGUGCGUAACGCGUGGGAAUCUGCCCUUUGGUUCGGAAUAACAGUUGGAAACGACUGCUAAUACCGGAUGAUGACGAAAGUCCAAAGAUUUAUCGCCAGAGGAUGAGCCCGCGUAGGAUUAGCUAGUUGGUGUGGUAAAGGCGCACCAAGGCGACGAUCCUUAGCUGGUCUGAGAGGAUGAUCAGCCACACUGGGACUGAGACACGGCCCAGACUCCUACGGGAGGCAGCAGUGGGGAAUAUUGGACAAUGGGCGAAAGCCAGAUCCAGCAAUGCCGCGUGAGUGACGAAGGCCUUAGGGUUGCAAAGCUCUUUUACCCGGGAUGAUAAUGACAGUACCGGGAGAAUAAGCUCCGGCUAACUCCGUGCCAGCCGCCGCCGUAA
rnacentral:rRNA from 1 species